GGCUUGGUGGCGUAAUGGUAGCGCAUUCCGUGUUGUUCUACAGUAUUUGUAUAUCGUAAGACAGACAGUUCGGAGUUCAAUUCUCCGUCAAGCCA